GGCGAUGAUUUAUAGCUGGUCUGAGAGGAUGGCCAGCCACACUGGGACUGAGACACGGCCCAGACUCCUACGGGAGGCAGCAGUGGGGAAUAUUGGACAAUGGGGGCAACCCUGAUCCAGCAAUGCCGCGUGAAUGAUGAAGGCCUUAGGGUUGUAAAGUUCUUUUAUUGAUGAAGAUAAUGACGUUAAUCAAUGAAUAAGCACCGGCUAACUUCGUGCCAGCAGCCGCGGUAAUACGAAGGGUGCUAGCGUUGUUCGGAAUGACUGGGCGUAAAGGGUGCGUAGGCGGCCGAAUGCGUCUGAUGUGAAAUCCCUGGGCUUAACCUAGGAACUGCAUUGGAUACGGUUUGGCUAGAGACCGAUAGAGGAAGAUGGAAUUGUGCGUGUAGAGGUGAAAUUCGUAGAUAUGCACAAGAACACCGGUGGCGAAGGCGAUCUUCUGGAGCGGUACUGACGCUAAGGCACGAAAGCGUGGGGAGCAAACAGGAUUAGAUACCCU
rnacentral:rRNA from 1 species